rnacentral:lncRNA from 1 species
CAAAAAAAAAAAAAGUCAAAAAUAAAUGAGUCCUUCUUACCUAGUUAAAAUUUCAAAAAGUUGGUUUAAAUAGACGAGUUUUUUUUUUUACUUGGUUAGAAUCUCAAUAAAAUUAGUUAAAAUAAAUUGAGUUCUUUACUUAGUUAAAAUUUUAAAAUUAGUCAAAGUCGUAAUGAAUUCUUUUACUUAAGUUAAAAUUUCAAAAUUAGUCAAAAUCAUUUUGGUCAAAUCGCCGGUCAACCGCGAGUUAGCGGGCAUUCCGAGGGCUUAACACCUUCUCGGAAUGUACAUUGAACUUCCAACCCUCUUAUUUUCAAUGGAUUUUAUUUGUUUAAAUCUUUUGAAAACCUUUAAAUUUUUUCUUGAUUUUUUACUAAAAAUUAAGUGGCGACUCUAUCCUUUUGGAAAUUCGAUUUUUCUUAAACUAUAAGUUUAAUCGACUUUUCGAAAACUAAGUCAUUUUUCCUUGUAUAUAUCUUUUUAAGUAAAACAUCUGGUAUUUCAGAUGAAGAGUGACGAACGAGAUGGAAGUGAGGCAAGGGAAGCGAGCGAGAUUGUUAUGUAUAUAAGAUAUAUGUGAAUUCACUGGAUACCAUGUAUCUAGAAUAAAUUAUACAUAAUUUUGAUCUCAUGUAUCUCGGAAUACAUGUAUCUGGACGCACCAAAAUAUGAUAAGUAUUCGUAAUAUUGCGAACGAGAGCAUAUAUAAGUAAUUAACUCCUAAACUAGUGAAAUUUAUGUAAGUUCCCUUUUAAUUUGCUUCUCCUAUCUUGAUUUGAUACAGAGUUUAAAAAAGUAAAGAAGACGUUUGAAUCUUCUAGUCUUAAAUUAAGGAUAUGCAAAUCUUGUGGUCUUAAACAUGACAUGUGAAAAGUUACAAAUAGGAAUGAGACAUUUCAUUUUGAAAGGCACUAAAAUAGUAGUAUAAAAAUCUAUAAAAAAAUUCCUCAAAAUAUGCAAUUUCGGCUAUGAGAUUUUACUUUUAAGACAAAAUGUGUUUGCAAAAUGUGAUUUAUAUGUAUCUUGAUUUAUAUUUAACAUAAUAAACGAUUUGAAAAACAACAUUACCUUAUAUGAUAUUUCAAAAAUAUAUCUCUACUAUACUCAUUUUGUGAGUAUGUUUUAUGGAACUUAUCUUUCAUUUUCAUAAAUACUUUAAGUGACACUUUCAUUUCUACAUCCUAGUUUGAUCAUAGGCAACAUAUUCAUAGUUUCACUGAUUGAUCAUUGAUGUAUAUCAAGAUCUUGAAAUCAUAUACAAUGUUGGUUUUGCACAAGAUUGGCAAGGACUAGUCGAAAUAUAUAGUUUAGUGUACAUGACUUGCAUAAUUAGAACUUCAGUGCAUUUCUAGAAACAGAGAAAUGCAGCAGCAAACUAUAAGAAACUACGUGAUAACUAUAGAGCAGAUUUCGAGAAAAAUACAUGAAUACAUUCUCAUUCAGUUUAAGGAUUAUGUACAUGAUCUCCAAUACCUUAUAACAUGUAAUCUAGGUCAGACUUCUACAACACUGUCAUCUUAUCUUGUACAACACUCCAACUCUUUAAAACACUAUCUUAACCAUACUAGUCUUAGCAUUCAGUUCAAGUAAAUUAGACAAUCAUUCACCUGAUAAUAAGAUAAUGCCAUUGACAAAAAAUUAUCUAAGAAGUAGAAGAAGAAAUAUACAUAUUGCAUUAGCUUUUCAGUUACAAAAUGCAUAUACAAAAUUCUAACGAAGAUCACAAUGACAACAAUCGUGCAUAACUGAUAAAAUAUGGGUUCACGUCUAGCUUCUAAUGCUCUGCGAUGUUCGAUUUCUUUUUCAAUUUGUUCAAUCCUUACUUGUAACAUAAACCGUUCGAAAUUUCUACGUCCUGCCAUAUAUUGAAGUGAUUGCCAAUAUUUGACAUAUCCCAACCCAAUGUAUAUUCAAGUAGUCAUCCAAAUAACAGAAAUUCAAUCAAUUUUGGUGUAUUUUAUGGUGAAUUGAAAUAGACAGGCCGAUGGUUGAAGAAGAAGAAUAAUAAUUUGGGAGAGUAACGAUGAAUUUGAAGAAAAAUUGGAGGGAAAUGAGAAUAUUAAUCAAGUACAAAGUUUGUUUUUAUAUAGACAAUUUCGUUUAGUGAUUUUAAUUAACUAUAAUUAAUUACUUCUAACUAAUCGUUAGUUUAAUGCUUAUUAAACCUUACUCAAAUUUUAAGUAUGAAAAGAAAUGGUAAAGGUAAAGAGAAUGGAAGCCCAAGCACACGCGGGUACAGAAAAACCUAAUGUGAAAGCAAAAAUAGAGUUAAAUCCAACCCAUGUUUACAUAUGUUUGAUGAUUAGGUUGAAAAUAUGGUCCAUUGUUGAAAAUUUGGCCCCAACAUGUCUGCUUCUUUUAUAGCUACAUUCCAUUUGCUUACUUAUCUCCCUCCGUUUUAAUUUAGGAGAAACUAUAUCGUUAGACAUAUUUCACUAUUAUAUAUACUACUAUUACUUAUAUUUUUAAAAUAUUACAUAUUUUAUCACUAAUUAAGAGUUUUCUAUUAUAUAUUAAGGAAAAUACAUUUAGAUACAUGUAUUUUUGCUACUAGAUACACUAAAAUAGAGAGAGAGGCGAGCGAGAUAGUCAACUGUCCCAGAUACAUGCAAAUCACACUAGAUACACACUACAUACAUGUAUUUUGUAUGUAAUUGAGAUACAGAUACGUAGGAGGGUGACUAGCAAGAUGGAGUGUGGGGGGGGGGGAAGGCGAUCGAGAUUUAUUGUGUAUCCCGGAUACAUUUGAAUCCACUUGAAUACAGUGUAUCUAGAACAUAUUAUACCUAAUUUUGACCUCAUGUAUCCUAAGAUACAUGUAUCAGGAUGCACCAAAAUAUGAUAAAAUCCGUAAUAUUGCAAACUAGAGUGUAUAUAAAUAAUUAGCUCCUAACCUAGUGAGUUUUAUGUAAGUUUCCCUUUAAUUUUUCUGUCUUAUUUUGAUUUGAUACGAAAUUUUAAAAAGCAAAGAAGACUUUUGAAUCUCCUGAACUUUAAUUAAGUAUAUGCAAAUCUUGUGGCCUUAAAUAAAACAUGUGGAAAGUUGCAAUUAAAAAAUUGUUAAAAAAGGAAAGAGACAUUUCGUUUUGAAACAAAUUAAAAGAAAAGUAUCACAAAAAAUUGAAACAGAUGGAGUAUUAUAGUUAAAUUGGUGAAUAAAUCUUGUAAUUUUUUCCUCAAAAUAUGCAGUUCUGGCUAAGAGAUUUUACUUCAAAAACAAAACAUGUAUGCAAAAUGUGCUUUAUAUGUGUCUUGAUUUAACUGAGGUAAUAAACAGUUUGAAAAAUAAUGUUAGCUUAUAUGAUAUUUAAAAAAUAUAUCUCUACAAUACUCAUUUUGUGAGUAUAUUCUAUGGAAUUUAUAUUUCACUUUCAUAAAUACUUUUAACGACCCAAAAUCACUCCCAAUAUAACAUUAUUCAUCUUGUAUAGAAUUAACCUUUCACUUCUAAAGACUUAGCUGUAACAGCUUGCAAGAGGUCUUACAAAAUUGGUUAUACACAAAUGAACAUCAUCCAUCUUACAACAAUACAAAAAUGAAGUUUUUCAUUGAUUAAUGUACAUCAAGAUCUUGAAAUCAUAUACAAUGAAGGUUUUGCUGUAUAGUUUACUGUAUGUGACCUGCAUAAUUGGAACUUCAGUGCAUUCCUAGAAACAGAGAAGUGUCGUUGCAAGCUUCACGCCUUAUCAGUCGUAACUGCAGAUUAGUCACCUAGAAGACACAGUGGUUGCCUCAUGCUAAGUUCAGCCUUGAGGUUUGGAUAUUUCUCCAGAUCAAGAGAAUCACCCAAAAUUUUCUGGAAGAAUGAUUAAUAAUAUCUUAGUUUUGUUUGGCAGAAAAACUAUACAAUGAGGGGAUCAAUAGAAUAUACAGAGAUGUCAAGUAAACAAUAUAGAGUUAAAAACCAGAAGCUCAAAAGAAAAGUAUCCAACACAGGAUUGUAAUAAAAAGACAGCAAAUAACAAGAUAUGAAAAACACGUGCAGCAACAGAUGGUAAUACACAUUGAGAAUAAGAAACUACGCGAUGACUAAAUAAUACUACUAAAACGGAGAAGUGGAGAGGAGGAGGCUAUCACACAGCUUUAGUCCAUGAAGGAAACCAUCUCACUUGCAACCACUUAUAGAAGCUAUGAAGCAAAUUUCGAGAAAAAUACACAAAUAUGUCCUCAUUCAGUUUUUAGGAUUAUGUGCAUUAUCUCACUGUCUGGAAUAUUAUUAUAGUUGACUAUGUUGUUGAGACAAAAUAGUAUGCCGAUGAGUUUGUUUACUGUCUCAUGCAUAAUAAAGACAAAUAGGAGAAUAAAAGACUAAACAUAUGAGUUACCAGCAAAUGCUAGAAACUUUUAUAGGCAUACAAUACCUUAUAACAUGUAAUCUAGAGGGGAAAAGUACAAAUGGUUAAAAAGGAAAUAAAAAGGUAAAAUAAGACAAUGUUGCAAAAAAUAUGAAACCAGAGAGUAGAUUAGAGGAUGUAUCGUGAAUUUGACAUGUGUGGUUUCUCUAUCAGCUAGCAUAUUCUUUUGCUAUAUUUUGUUGUAUUUAUUUUGUGUUGUUCGAUGCUAUUCAGUGUUCUAUUAAGCUGUAUAGAGUAUCGAAUUAAAAAUUAGCAUAGACAGGGCUCCGUGUAAUGUGGUUUGUUCUUUUAUAAAAAAAGAGAACUUUUGGCUAUAAUUUAUGCUUCUUAUAUACAAAGAAUAUGAUUUUGUGUCCAACUCACGUUGUUUCCCUGUGAUUUCUAGAAUUUUGUAUCUUAACACCAAGUUGAUUAACAGAAAAUAAGACAUAUUGAGUAUAAAAAAAUGCGUAAACUCAUCGAUCUACUAGUAAAGAUCAAGAAACUUAUGGAUUAGAUAUUGAAAUCAUUGGUAGGAAUUGUACUCACCAAAGCAGCAAGAUGUGCAUCUUGUAUGAUAUUUCCAUCUAUCUCUAACCGAGCAAUAGGAAACUCUGGAAGAUGUCCAGACUGCUUCCUCCCAAGUAAAUCUCCAGGUCCUCUCAUUACAAGAUCCAUAUUUGCGAGGUAAAAACCGUCAGAUGAUUUCUCAAGCACCUGCAAGCGACUUAGACUGCUGUCGGUUGAUCCCACCAAUAUACACUUGGACUUUUUUUCUCCACGUCCAACUCGUCCUCUAAGUUGAUGCAACUGAGCUAUUCCAAAUCUCUCAGCAUUCAUAACAACCAUCAUAGAUGCAUCUGGAAUAUCAACCCCAAUCUCAAUAACUUGCGUUGAAAGCAAGAUAUUGGUUUCUCCGGAUCUAAACAGGUUUAAUGCUUCACUUUUCUCAUCACCCUUCAUUUUUCCAUGUAAGAGACCGCAGUUGUACCCUAAAAACUUUUGAGAUAUAGUCUCAAGAUCAGCCGAAGCUGCACGAAGCUGAGGCAAUUGCUCGGAUUGUUCAAUGACCGGAUAAACAAGAUAUAUUUUACCCCCUGCUUCUAACUCAUCAAACAUCAUCUGUACUGGAAAUAGUGCUAUAGGAAGUUAGACAAAAACAUAUGUCGGAAACAAGAUCAAGCUUAUGACUGACCAGUACAAAUUGACUGUAUUCUUAUUUAGUAUAGUAACAAUGAUUAAAAUUUUGGACUUCAAAAGUCCCAUUUCUCCAGGUUAUAAUGACUACAAACAGCAAAGCUGAUUAUUCUGUCAAGAUGGAACAAGAGAGUUGUAGAUAUCACUAUUACCAACAUGAACUACCUAAAUAUCAUGCUUCAAAGUUCAAAGAAAUACAAAGUGUAAUUGCCUGAGACCAAGGAAAAGAAAAAGAUACGACCUGAUAGACCUUCUCAAAUCCAGGUUCAUUUCCUUCAAUCACAAAUGUUUCAACAGGAAUUCUUCCAGGAGGCAAAUCAGUGAUCUGUUGUUAAAAGAAAUCAAGCAAAGAAAAAGAGUACAUAGAAACAGGUGAUAAUUCUGAAGUUACAGCAACAAACUAAAACUUAUAGCAACCAAGUCACACAGUUGAACUGCCAAUAAUAUCAAGAAAACCAGGUAAAGAAGACUCAAAGAGCAAAAGGCCUUCCUUGCCCAAAUAUUUUCUAGUAUGCCUAACUAAAUCUUGUUAUGCCACCCCUUGAACACUUGCUAGAAGCUCAAAUGUAGGCAUAACAAAUCUUUGUAUGCAACAUGAUUCACAAAAAGAAUACUGCAACUUCCCAAAAGGUAUAUAAGUGAGCGGAAAAUGAGAGUUAAAAGUCAAAUUGAAAAUAUGGAGAUGGGGCUUUGGGCAAAAAAACAACUUAAAAUUUACUUCAACUCCAGUUCCAGUACUAAAAGCAUGUACUGAAAUCAGAAAUGAUCUCAGCUAACAGGCAGUAGCAUAUUGACACAAGGAUACAAACUCUUAACACACCUGUGUCAAAGACAUGUCUCCAUACAAAGCCAGAGCCAAAGACCUUGGAAUUGGAGUGGCCGACAUAGCUAGGAUAUGAGGAGCCAUAAUUACACUGUCCUUGGAGGAAUCGUCUGAGAUUUUCGAAGAGAUCUUGGAACUUAUUGAGUUAUAAUAUAACUGCAAGACCAUAGAGGCUUCAAUCAAUUCCCGGUUAAAGAAAGAAACCAUGUUAAACCAAACAUGUGCAUUAGUUCACAGGAUUCCUAUCCUUUUAAUAAAGUUUCAUCAAAUUUAAAUUAGUGCAUUGGCAACAAUGCAUGGAGAUUGUUACAGAUCCUUGAAAUUACAGACAAUCUUGUAUCUAAGUGUUAUAUCUAUCUACAUAAAAAAAGAUCACCAUUCACCAGUUUAAGCUUAUGCAUUAUAGCAUAACUGCAAAAUGAUCAUGUUAACUUUUUAAAAAAAAGGAAUCAGCAAAGCUGCACACUUAACUACAAAAUCUGGUUAGUUGUAGUCAAAAGCAAUUUCAACAUCAAAAUGUUUUUGAUAAGAUAUCAUAUUGAUUCAUGAAACUCACAAUCAAGCAUCGUCACAUAGAAGCAGUGUAAGUUUUCAUCAGUAAAUCAAGUUAUCAUUAAUAAAAUUUAACCAAUCAUCUAAGCAACAUAUAGCUUCAGUACUCCACAAAUAAAGUAUACUAUUAUAUCAUGUUCUGCACUAGUGCAAAGGAUUGAUCUCCACUUCAUUACAUGCAAAAAGAAAAUUAAUAACCUGACAUUCACAAAUUAAACAGUCAGAUGAAGAACGAGUGAACGAUCUGUAAUUAUUCCUAGUUUGGUUUUAUCUUGAUUGCAUAGUGGGAAAUCCUCAGCAACUUUUAGAUGCACAAUCACCAAUCAAGGCGAGGCAGGUCCAAGCAUAUUACCUUGCUGUUAAAUCGUCCUCUUUGGAUUACUCCAAAACGAUGUUGCUCAUCCACAACAGCGAUGCGUAAAGCCGAAAAUUCCACUUUUUCAGCGAUUAAGCUGUGAGUCCCAAUGACCAAAGAGAUAUCACCAGUUUGGAGACCCUGCCAACAGAUGGCAAACAGUAAAAUAAACUGAAAGGAGAAACGUAAAACCCUUGAUAAUAAAAGCAUGUCAGCUAUAGGUGAUUUUGUGAUAAUAAGGAGAAUUCUUCAGCUUAGUCCUUCUUUUGAGCUUUUAGGUAGGGGAUUCAUAUAACUUAACAUGAUACCCAGUGCAAGGAAAGGUGGAAAGGUCUUAAAUUCGAGUGACUUCGUUAUUGAUGAACAAAAUAUCUUUGGUAGGUGCCUGACUCAAGAAAAAGAAUCAGGCUUACACACGAUGUCACGAACCUAAGAAAAAUAAAAGUACAGUAUCUCCCUUCUAACAACUUAAAUUCUGAGACGAGACUGUUCAUAAUUCAACAAUAAUAAAUAAAUAGAUGAAAUUGGCUUCUUCUUUUUUUAUAGGUCCGAUAGCAAGAUGUUUUUCGAGAUAGAUGUAACUAUCAACCUUCAAAGGUUACACUAUACUCAUGAAAAAGUAGAAUAGAAGUUAGAAUUUAGUGCUUCAUGUUUUCUAAGAAUUAUCAUGCUUUAAAUAUUUAUAGGCGAAUACCAAGAAACUCAUGCUGAUUCCAGAAACCUUUUUGUCCUCUGACUCUUCAUUCUUGUGUUCUCCUUUAAGAACAUUUUACUACAGAAAAUUUAGACUAAAAUCACAUGUGUUUCUCUAUUUCACUACCUUUUAAGCCACACUGUGCUACUAGGUACCUUUUCACUCAAUUUGACGCCUACAUUUCAAAGUCAGCAAAGCAGCUUUUGCUUAAAGAUAUCCCAAUUCCCACAUCAAUGGUGGCCAAAACCAUUUAAUAAGGAAAAAUUGAAGUGCUGCCUUAAGAUUUCUUACCUGUCGAAUCAACCGUGAUUCCUUUGUAGAUGUUGAGCCAGUCAAUAAAGCAACUGAUAGUUUGCAUUCUGCCGCUUCCAUGUUUGCUAAUAAGAUUUGAAUUUGCUCAUAAUGCUGAAUAGCAAGCAACUCGGUUGGGACCAUAAAAGCUGCCUAAAGAUGAGAACUUAGCAAUUAUUACAUGUGGCACUGGGUAGUUAGAAGGCCGAAAGAGUUUAUAGCUCCAAGCUUGUAUUCUAGAAGGGAUGUAUGAAAACCAAAUUCUUUUUUUGGAUACUUGUACUAACAAUCAUAACAUAGCUAAUAAAACAAAGCAAAAUAUAGCCACAAAGAAAUCACAAGCUAAUGCAGAAAAAAAUAUUAAUGCUGACUAACCUGGUAACCUAAACUGAUAACCUCCAAACAUGCUAAAAAUGCAACCACAGUUUUCCCGCAUCCAACAUCACCCUGAAAAAGUGAGCAAAUUUGAAACACCCAUUCAAAUCCGCAAAAAAACUCUAGUCUUCCAAAAGAAAGUCAAGUAAUUCUAUUUCAGAAGCAAGAACAUCAUUUCUCAGUUGAUAUCUGAGAAAAAAAGUUAAAGAAAAACAUUAAUUGAGAGAUGGCGAGUAUAAUAUCCAACUCGACUGCCAAUUUUAAUUUGUCAAAAAACUUGAAAUUAAAAAGAAGACGGACUAGGAAAAUGUUGUUUUUAACUUAUGCAGAUGCCAUGUUAACCUUCCAAUAAAAUCAUUUGUGUCUUUUUAUAAUUAGGUAAACAGUUUCAUUUCAUAAAAUCAAAAGGCCAGUGUCUGUAUACAAGAAGUAUGCCAAAGAGUAAAAAAAUCUACAAAAAGAUAUGGUUCCCUACAAAAGACGCCCAAUCCUCUAUGCAUCCCCGAACUACAUGGGUGCACAAAAAAUAAAUGAGGGAUUGGAGAUUACUCAACUACCCAAAACUCAUUUCUACUCCUUCAAAAACCCUCAUAUUUCUCUCUUUCCAGUCUCCAGGUGAUCCACAUCAAAAUGAAUGAAUACCAAGAAUAAUGAAAAGUGUAAUAAGAAUGAAAAAUGUGAUGUUAGAAGAAAUGAAUGAAAACCAAAAAUAGUUUCCCCUCCCCACCCCAAAAAACAACUUGCAAGUAAACAGUAAAGCACAUCUCACUACCUGUAGUAGACGAUUCAUUGGGACAGGUUGCUUUAGAUCCCAAAUAAUUUCUGAAGCAGCUCGCAAUUGACUGGGUGUAAGAGAAUAUGGAAGAGCCUUCAGAAAUUUGUUAGUCAGCAUGGACCAUCCAUCUGUGUUUAUCAAAUUGAAUUCAGAUUUCCGAUACUUAUCCAGCAAUCCAUCUUUCUCUACUUUUGUACCAAGACCUUCAAGCAUUUGGAAUAACCGCCCAAGCUGCAAGAUAAUGAAAGCAGUGAGUGAUACUAACAGCAUCCCAAGCCACGAGAUCAUGGAAAAGCAUCCAUGUCUGUUUUUUGUAAGAACACAAGCAUCCAUGUCUCUUAUUGUGCGUCAAAAUCUGAAAGUCGGUUAUUGUGGCUCUAUUUUCAUGUGCAUAUUAUCAAAUUUCCCAGAAGCUAACUGACCGUGGUAAAGUCACAUUUGUUAUAAUCAACAUACAUGUUCAAGCAGAUCCCUGUCGAAUUGCAGGGUAUAUUUGGAAAAUGAAGCCUAGACUAAACAGAAGGCUAGAUGAUUUGAACUUCUAUCCUUAAUGGAAUAUGCACUGGAUAUUUGUACCAAGGAUAAACGCUGUUAGGAGAGUGGAAUAUGGAAAUUUGAUGUAUUAAUUCUGGGAGAUGGGGUAGAAGUGGGAAUAGUUAAUACUAUGACUGGCAGCAUGUUCAAUCUUGGAACAAUUUUGUUUUUCUUUCUUGAGUUGCAGUUCCUUACUUCGGUAAUAAAAUAGUUAGUUACAAAAAAAAUCAAGUUCAGAUGAGAGAGAGAGAACCUUCAUACCAAAAUCAUAAUGGGUAGCUCAAUUAGGUCCUACAGCACCUUGAAAGAGUUGAUUUUCUUAUAAGCAUACAGAAAGUGGGAACAGGGAUACUACUGGUCCCGCAAUAAAGGUAUUUGAUGGAAUCAGAGAUUUGUGCUGCAUGUUUCCUGUAGACAUCUGGUGCAAAAACAAUGCUCUUGCCAUGUUACCCAAGAAAGGAACUUCUUUUCCCGACUGAGUUUUACUUUUCUAAUAUCAAUGUUUGGGGAAGAUAUCUACUACUCAAAAAUCAAAAUACAGCAAGGGUUUGAAAACUGAAGUUCUUUAUUUUAAAGAGGUGUAAUCUACCUCCAUGCCUAUCCCUCCGUCUUACUAAGUUAAAUAAAAUUUAUAUUCCAUGGUCAUGAUGGAGGAGUAGCUGCUAGCAAACAAAGUCUUAUACAGGAUUUCAUUAUCAAACAUGGGAGAGAAGUUCUGGUGAUCUAUGAUAAACUAAGGGAGACUAACACCUUGUCAUGAGUCAUGACAAAGGCAUAGCUACCUCUGAAAAGGAUGAACCCAAAUAAAAAGUUGCAGUUAGACUGCAGGUACUAAUGAUGACAGGAAGGAUGAGAGGGCAAGAUGAUGCAGCUUAAGAGAGCAUGAUUCUUCCUAGUAGUGUUUCUGAAAGGAAGUAAUGUCUCUUUUUCUUCCGUCAUUGGUGGAAGGAUGGUGCAGAAACAAAAGCAUUUUGCUAUUAAAUAUCACAACAGAGUGAAAUCCUAAAGGACAAUGAUCUCAUUUUCUUCAGUCAUCGAGUGCCAGGGUGGUCAAGAAAACAAAAGCAUUUGUUUUUUGAAACUUAGAACAGCACGAUAUUCUAAAAAACGAACAAAGGAAGAACUGGAAUCUCUUGGAGCUUUGCAAGGUAUGGUUUUGGAGAAGAGAGUUGAAACCUCCCAUCAUCACAACAAAAUAAAGGCCCAAGAACGAUACUUCUUAAUACAAGAGUGUGACUGUACCAGCAUCAUGUGAAAUUGUGAAUAUAAUUGAAGAAUCAAAGUCAAAAAAGAAAAGAAAAGGAGGGGGGACAAAGUGCAGCCUAAAGUCCAGUUCACAAGAGCGGAGAAACUAAAUUCGGACGUUCUUUAUGCUAUUUUAGUUCUUCCUUUAUGUAGAAAUUGAAUUCAACAACUAAGAAGUUAUUUAGCUCCUUUAAUAUCCAAAACUAUGAUUACCUGAAGAUAAAAGAAUUCAUCAAAUACAAGCCUUUUGCGCGCUAACUCAGCCUCUUUUACACUUUUUGGCUGGUGAAUUCCUGCAUAUGCCUGUUUAUUGUACAGCCACAAGAGGAAAAAGAAACAAUCAGUCUCAAUAAAAAAGGAGAUUGGGAGUAAAAAGAGUUGUCGAUGACAUAGAAAUAAAUAAAAAUGUCUCUUCUUUAAUGAUUAAGCUUUUGAAUAAGGUGGUUAGCACAGAUCAUCAUACCAGAGCAAACAAAACUUCUGGGUUUGAGUCCCUCCAUCACCCAUUAACAAAACAUUUUUCAUGUGCUUGGCCCGAGAAAUGAAUCGUGCCCAAGAAAAAGAUUUUUAGCAGUCUCGUUAAUAUUCUUGCACAUGAUACAAGCAUCAGAAAAAGGAGACUGGAGAAUCUCCAAAUUACUAUUAGGAGAGUGGUACUAAAGGAGGAGUGGAGAAUAUGCCAGAAAAAUCCAUUGAGCCUGAACAAAGAGAGCUAAAUCCUGAAUUUUGUAAGUCAAUAGGUAAACUAAAGGAGAAAGUCUCAGCUCUAAUUUUCUAACACCACAAGCAUGAGAUGAUGAUUUAAGUGUGCAAAAUACUCAACCAUGAAUAAGAUCAUCCUUCACCAAUGGGAGAGGAAAUGUGAGCCACAAGAAAUAGAAAGCCUAUUAUAGAGAUCAGACAAUGAGAUCUUGAGGUGUCAGUAAGUAAAACAGGAGAUACUUCAUCAGCUUCUUGAUAGUUAUUCAAGAAAACUCGUGUAUUUUCUCAGGAAAAGAUUGAUUGUAUCACUACACCCUUAACCAAUUAACCCAACUUUCUCUCAGAAAAGAAAGGUCAAUUUUGUUCUAAAAUAAAGUAACUGAAAAAAGCACUAAGAAGUAUAUCAUAUAUUCUAUUUCUUAGUCUGUUGUACAGAAAAUAACAAGAAACCUCGUGUUCGUUUUUUCCUUAUCCUCCUCAGCUUUAUCAUUGUUUCACUCAAAAGAAUGCUACACAUCAUGUUUGUUUUCAGAAAAUAGGACAAGCAAUAAAUGUAUAUUCCUAAAAGAUCUCAUUUUCAACUGUCUCAGGGCCAUAGAAUUCCAUUGAAAUGAUACAAGCAACUAUUUCCAGCAAAAAAGACAUAAAAUCUCAACACCAUACACAUCAUUUCAUUUUACAGUAUACAUGGUGCAGUAUAAAAUAAUAGAAGACAACGUAAAUCUGACGAGCCAUAUGAGAGCAAUAACUUACGUCAUGAAGGCAUAGGAGUCCAAAAUCAUGAGCAAGAUCUUCAGGUAUAGGAUCAAUAUUGGAUGGAAGCACCUUUAAGGCUCUAUUUAAAUAUUAAAAGAAGGCAUAAAAUACUUGAGAAGAAUGAUACACAGUUAAAUCAAAAUUACAAAAAGCAAUAAACAAAUAAAUCAUGCAAGAUGAGACAAAACACAUUUAACAACUUACAGCUAGAAACUAUGUCCAUGUUUCAAUUAAGAAAACAAUUAAAUCUCAAGACAACAUAAUGAGAUCAGCUGGAAUAGUUGCUACAGGCAGACACUACAAGGAAGCUGGUCAGAAAAUAGAUGCUGACAACGACAAAUUUGGGACAUAGAAACUAGUUAAAAGAAGGCCGAGUCCACAUCUGAUACAUGAGAAUUGUUCAGCUAUGUACUUUCAUUACUCUUAUUUCAUCAACUUAUGUCAUGUUUACCUCCAAAAGAACAAGGAAGUUGUCAGACCACUACAAAGAGUAGAGUGCUAAUACUAGUGGUAUUACAGGCAUUAUUUAGUUACAUUUCAUCAGUUAGAAUAGUUCAGUUACACCAUUUGACAGAUGAAUAAGUAGCAAUGGUAAAUCUCAAUUCACAAUAUUCUUCAAGAUGUCCUUUGCACUUGUGUGCUCUAAGCUUGUCUUUAACUCUCCUGCACAUGCAGUCCAUGAAAAUUUUAGAGUUCUUUUAUUCCGAUAAAUGCUAUGCAACUUCAAAAAACUGAAGUAGGUUAAUGAGAUCAUCACGAUACAUGCAUAUGUUUUUCUUCCUGUUAUGUCAUGUAAUCUAUGAAAAUUUUAACGUCAUUUUACACAAAUCGAAUGCUUUUUGAGCAAUUUCAAAUAACUAAAAGCAAGUUCAUUGGAAUCAACAACAUACAUCAUGUGCCUUAAACAAAGUAGUCGUCCUUAUUUAGGCAAUGUCUUACUAAUAACAUACUACAUAAAUGCAUGUAAAACUAGAACAAAAUAAACAAAUGUGAGAAUGAACAUAAACAGAUAAGCUUCUCAUGACAAAAAUGGCAAGAAAUGGUUUUUAAAAUAUACCAUUUUGCACAUACUACUACAAAGUAGCUUGGGUUUGAGAUCUGACCUUGAAAUCACAUCCCUAAGGAAGUUAGAGCUUAAACCUCCUUUUGAAGGAUAUAUAGGAUACGGCCUCCCUUGUGCACAAAAUGAUGGAUCCUUUUCAUCUUGUAGCACAUCCAUAUUGUAUUCCCUCAUCUCGUAAUGAUUUUUUGACCUCAUAAUCCGCACCUUUCAAAUAGUAACAUACAGAUUACAAUAUGUUAGAAAUUAGAAAAACAAAAUAAGGCGCAGUGCCACAAUGAUAACUGACAUGUAUUCAUAACAACCAUAAACAACCGAUUGCUCCACAUAACGGCCUACAAUUAUGUCAUUAUGUGCAACCUAUAUAGAACCCAUGUGCUAAUCAACUAAGAAGACUCAGACAAUGAACAGGAAUAGUGAAUCUAAUCUAUCAUUUUUCUCAUUACUAAGGAGUAGGAAACUAAGAAAUCUAAAACUCUACCCCUUUUGACUUUCAAAACAAAUGCCUGGAUCUCUAAAGCUGCUAUUUGACACUUGAUAUUCAACUUGCAACCAUAAUAUGGAGUUACCCAUGAGAAAGUUCAUCAGAUCGCACACGACAUAACAAACAAAUUCUUAGCUUUGGUAACUCUCAGAAACUGCUAUAUCAUAUAUAUGAUAUAAGUAAAACAAGUAACCAACUGUUUCCAGAUCACGCUACAGACCAUAACAGAUCCAGUUUAGCUUAAAAGGUGACUUGUGCAAUAAGUAGUAAAAGUUUGUCAUCAUUAGCAAUAAAGUUAAAAAUUGCUAGAAGAUAAUAACAAAUUCAUCAAAUUCUUUCAAUGAUGGAUUAAAGAUUGACCAACUCACCUUACCACUGACACAUACAAUGUCUCCAACUUUUUGCUUCUCCUCUAGGCUCUUGAGAAAAGGUAGAUACGUGAAGCGAGUGCCUCGGAAAAACUUUUUUAAGUGUAAAAAUACUGUUUUCUUCCUUCCAUUAUCAGCUUUAUCACUCAUUAAAUCAGCACCACCAUCCCUAGAAGUUGAUGGUGAUUCAUUAUCUACAACAUCACAAGCAACAACAACCUCAAGGAAUGACAAAGAAUAACUAGCUCUUAUUCCCCUGCAUGGAAAAAUACAGAAGAAAAUUAUUCAGUUUAACAAAGAUUGUUUUUAAAUUUGAAGUUUGAAGUAUUGGCAGAUGUACACUAUUGUGAAAGCAUAUACACCAGUAAGAGCAAGAGAAUCUAACUUAUCCAUUAGGAGCUAUUUGCUAAGACCAUAUUACUGUUGCAGUGGGUACCAAUCAAUUAAUACUUCACUCAAAAUACAGGAACAACAGAUUCCAAGCAAACUUGAUAUUAUUCAGUAAACACCUAUUAGAAACAGCAGAUAGAUCCUAAACACCCUCUCAAGAAAAGGAAGACAACAACAACAACAGUAAGGUUUCAGACCAAAUAAGUCAUGGUCGACUAUAUGAAUCCUCACUUCUUAAUUUAAGCUCAACUCAUAUCAUCAUCAUAUCAAAUUAAAUAGAAAUGAAAAUUUUAGAUAUUUAAAAACAAUAGUAAUAUUAUUAUUAUUAUUAAUAAUAAUAAUAAUCUCUAACAAUUAUAAAAAUAUACAGAUCUUUUUCUCUAUUGUGCCUUAUCUAUAGCUACCCAGUCCCUUUUUAACAGUGUCACUCACCAAAGUUUCACACCUAUGGACUGGUGCAUUUGUAGGUCAAUGCAAGACAUGAUCAAACCAUCUCAAGCGACCUUAUUUCAUUUUAUCCUCAACAUGUGCUACUUGCACGGUUGCACCUUCGGGUGAAUGUAGUCAUUGUUAAUCAUAGGGUAUAUGUGAAAGGUGCAUGUUACAAGUCCAAAAUGAGGCUAUAUAACCAAAUCUGAGUGGAGAGGUAGAAGGGCAGGCCCAAUAUCCCGAAGUUUUGAAGUUGAUAAAAUGAUUUCUCAAUCCAAUAUAAAAUAGUGCUAACUAUUCCAUAUUCUAAAAAGAAAUAGAAAUAUCUUACAUUCAAAACAAUUAGAAUCAAUCAUGAACAGUUAGUCUUCUUGCAAAGCAUAAAAGGUAAGGUAAGAACUUCUGUAAUGGUAAUUCACCUUGAGGACUUGAUUUUUCCAAUAAAAAUCAAGUAUUGCCCAUCCUCGAUUCCAACCUGUGCAUUUUGCAGAUCAACAUAUGUCCGAGGAAAAUGCUGCAGCAAUUUGCGCGACUACACAUAUACCAGAUGAUUAUUAGAGUUGUGACUUUGAGAGCAAAAUUAUAGUAGGCUAAAUGGUUCCAAGUCUCACUGUGUGAAAGCCACAGUUUUCCAGCUGACGAGAGUGUCGUUUGCUGAGCCCAGGAAUAAAGCUAAUAGAUUGAUCAAGCAUUACUUCAACCAAUCCAUCAUUCUGUUUGACCCCAUGCUGAGGCAGGUUAGAAGGUUUAUCUACAGUGAACUGCAAGUCUUGUCUUGUUUCUGUCUCCAAAGAAUCAGGAAUAUAAGUGGUUGAAUCCAUAUUAGUAGCUCCCGAAUACAAAAUAUGCCAUGUUUCAUACAGUGAAUCAGGAUCGAUCAAUUGUUCACCCACAGAGCUAGACAGAAACUCUCUACAAAUUUUAGUGGCCCACAGCCCACUGUCUCCAUGGUUGGAUGCUGUCCCAUCGUAUAAUUCAACAGGUGGAGAAGAGCCCAACCUGAUUGAAGAGAAUUGUUUACACAUUAAGGAGAAAUCAAAGUCAACUGCUCCUCCAUCAGGAUGAAUAUCAGAUUGUUUUUCGCUUCCGUUGCCAUCAAGCAGGUCAUCUAAACCAUCAUAACCCAUCACCACAGAAGCCUGGGAGAAAUUCAAAUAACUAUCACACGAUGAGGGGAAAUUUCUUGGGAAGGGAGAUGCAUCAAAAACAACUUAAAAAACUACCAAGUUGGGGAACAUCUUUCCUUCUACAUUUCUUUUCUUUUUUUAUUGGAAAUGGUAAUGUUGUAUUCUUCCUUCUACAUUUCUGUUCAAGAAAACCACCACAGUUUCCCAAAGGAAAGACAAUAAAGUACAAACAAGUAACCAGAAUAUUUCAUACAAUUGGGUCGAACAAAAUUGAGGUAGCUCAAGUAUGAGAUAAGCAAACAGAAGGUAACACGUGUAAUCAUUUGAGGCACCUUUUGAAGAAAGAAGGGUUGCGGCAUGUCGAUGGCCAGAGUAAAAAUAGUAGAAUUCUGACAAAUCCUCUUACUACGGAUACAGAGGUGCAUUGACUUGAUGAUACUAAUUGACUAGGAUUUAGGCACCUUCUCCAUACACCCAAACAAACCCAUAAUAUGUUCAUUACACCAUUCAAAGUGAAUCAAAAUAAGAGAAAAGGCAUUUGCAAUUAUUAAGCAUACUACUCCCUUCGCAGCUCACCCGAGAUUCUAAGAAAUACAAUAAAAUGCAUCUAGAAUCCAUCAAAGAUCACAACUACAGAACAUCUACCAUCCAUCAUCUAGUUUAGCUAAAUUAAAUGGACAAAGGCCAGUCAAAUAGAGUAAAAGAUUAUAGAAACCUCACAAGCACAUUUCAAAGUAAUUCAAAGUAACUGAAGAAGUAUCCAUUGUUUAUGGGUCUAAAUGUUAUGCUUGACAUCUGUACUUGAGCUACCAUUUCCAGCCCCUCUAGUAUAUGUACAUAACUUUCUUUCUUUUUUGUAAUCCUCUAGUAUAUGAACAUAUAUGUACCACUCUUUAUUUUUAUUAAAAUUGGAGCAAGUUAUUUCCUCGUGCAAGAACUAUAUGCUCAGAUUUUCCCAAGAACAGAUUAUGUAGUAUUUCACCGGGAAAGUGGAUUUAAUUUUUGAACUUGGUAACUUUGUAUUAUAUCACAAAACAGUACGAACCUUAUAUACAAGUGUACUCCUGAUUUCACUUCUCUACGUCUAAAUUGAGUCUAACACAUCAAUAAUAGAGACAGUGUCAUUAGACUGAUUACACCAAAAGACUAAAAGUAAAAUGCAGUUUAGUUUAACUUUCUGCACAUUGUUCUCUAUGCUCUCAAAACAUCUUGAAUUCCUUUCUUUCCAAACAGCCCACCAGAUAGCCCCCGGGAUAAUUCUCCAUCUACCUCUGUCCUUAGCAUGUACACCUGCUUCCUCCCAGCAUAGUAAUGCCUCAGCCACCUUCCUGGGCAUUGUCCAGGAGAUGCCUUUGAGGCUUAGGAAUAUUCUCCACAGAUGAUGGGUGUACUUGCAAUGUAAAAAUAGAUGGUUAACAGUCUCAGAUGUUUCACCACGUAGGAAGCACCUGGAACACAAAGUUCUCCCCCUCUUCAUAACAUUGUCCAGUGUAAGGACUACUUCCUUAGCCAUUGACCAAACAAAAAAGGAGACUUUGUGAGAGAUUCUGCUCUUCCAUAUUUGCUUCCAAGGCCAACUUGAGCACUAUUGAUCUGUCUGCUCCAUCACCUUGUAGGAUUUGUUGACUUUGAACACUCCCUUGUCAUCUCCUGUCCACCACAAUUUAUCCUCACCUGGCUAUAGUCCAGUGAAAGUGUUCACAGUGUUUAAAAAUUCAGUAACUCUCACUAUUUCCCAAUCAUUAAGGUUUCUUCUGAAAAUGAAAUUUCAUCCUUGUGGUGACCAAAGAUCUGCUAUAGUGCUUUGUUGAAACAUGAUUAGGUUGUAGAUGUCUGGAAAGAGAUCUUCCAUGUUGCCUUUCUCAUGCCUAAUGUCCUUCCAAAAUCUGUUCUUACUUUCAUCCAUUACUUUUGCCUUUGAGUUACUUUUAACUUCAUUCCACAAACUUCUAAGCCUUGCUUUGCAAUUUCAAAUUCUUUAUUCCUAGACCUCCAUUUUCCUUGCUUGUCAUGACUUCUUCCCAUUUAACCAAAUGAAAACUUUUCUUUUCUUUGUUGCCUUGCCACAAAAAAUUCCUCCUGAUACGAUCCAACCUCUUAAUGACCCCUGGUGGGAUAGGAAACAGGGACAUCAUAUAGGUUGGCAAAGCAUCAAGUACUGAGUUAAUAAGGGUCAGUCUACCCCCCUUUGAUAAGUACUGAGACUUCCACUUGGCCAAUUUCUUCUCACACUUCUCAAUCACACUAUUCCAUAUGUCUAUGGACUUGGAUUUGGCCCCCAAAGGCAUUCCCAAGUAUAUAGUAGGCAGAACUCCUAUUUCACCACCCAGAAUUGAUGCUAAACAACUCAUGUUGUUUACUUCAUUUAUAGGAUACAUCAUACUCUUCCUCCAAUUGAUAUGCAAACCAAAAAUACCUUCAAAUAAGACCAGAAUCACUCUUAGAUACUUCAGUUGUUAUUCCUUAGCAUCGCAGAAAAUCAAGGUAUCAUCUGCUUAUUGCAAGUGUGUGACUUCUAGUCUCUCAGUACCUUCUCUGGAUUUAAUUGUUAAAGGUAUAAGUUUUAUAUUCAAACCAAACACUAUGGUUCAAGGAUAUAAAAAAAAAGAACGCCAGGAUGGGGGAACCAUUGAUUUCAGUACCAUGUAAGGGAGGUUUAUCUCUAUCCCCAAGCUUUUUAUGUGUCUUCAUUAGAGAAAUGCAAGUUAUCUACCUCCUAUUUGUGAUGACCUUCAUAGGGUUGCAAAAUCUCUUUCCAUUCUAAGUAGCGGAGACACUAGCCCCUUGCUCCUGCUAUAUAUCCUCUCCUGCUAUCCCUUUCCUUUCACCCAACUAACAUUAAAAAAGAUGGUAGGUAGGCAUUUAAUAGGACGUCCAAAUAAAUAGAGUAUCUCACUAUCUUGAAAUAUAUUGCUCCAUUGUGAGGGAAGAUUCCAACACUGAAUGUCAAAGACUAUUCAUUUAUGUAAUUUCAAGUGACAUGGUUUGAACAAGCUUGCCCAAGUCUUAAGAUACAUUAUGAUGAAAGGUUAUAAAACAUGAGAAUUGAUAUUUCAAGUUCUUAUAUUUUCCUUGUCUUCUACACUUGUUUUUCUCAUCCUACUGAUUGUUUUCUUCCUAUAAAGUCUUAAUUGUUUCCUCUUUAAUGCAAACUUGUUCCAAACUCGAUUAUUAUUCAGAUAGCAUGAAUGUUUUCGACAAAAAGGAAAGAAUACAAAAGGAAAAGAAACCAUCUUGAGGAGGAAGCUGGGGGAGUAACUAAAAAAACAUAAUACAUUUUCCCAUUCAUCAAGAAUUUAGACAGAUUUACUGAAGCAGCGUAAUACAUAUAUGUUAGCUGAGUCUAAUAAAAAAAAAAUAUGUAACCUUAUUUAAAAAUUUUGACCUAUCUUUGACACUAGCGCAGCCAUAAACAUCUACUUCCUUCAACAGUUUUCCCGCAAGCUUAUGCUUCGACCUAGAAAACACUGUCAACAUCUUGGAAUAAAGAAAAUUGUUUAACCUGCAUGAUAUUAGAGGGAUUAAAUAUAGUAUUCAAGUCAAAAAAUUGACUCAAUCAGGAAGAAUUCAUAUAACUAUAAAAUUAUCAGUACCUCAUAUCUUGACUCACAAAGUUCCUAUAUCCUUUCUGAGCUUCAAAUAUCAGUGCACUUCUCAAGCACUUCUCACUUGAACACUGGAAAAGGUUAAUGAGAUCAUAAGGAGAAGAGCAGAUGAUCGAAAACUUCUAAGAUUGACACGUUCCACAGAGGAAUUUGGGAAGAAGCUACAACCUACAUACCAGUAAAAUCCCACUAAGUGGUGUCUGGGGAAGGUAGAGUGUACACUGCAAUGUAUGAAAGAAAAUUCCAUAUUUUUCUCUCUCCUCUCUGAAAUGCUCUCGGCGUAGGAUCUGCUAGCGUGCGCCGUGGGGAGUAUGGCAGGAAAGAGACGGCAAGGGAGACCUAAGAAGCAAAGGGUAAUCGCAUUUGGGAGUAAGUAUGAAGGAAGUAGGAUCACAGAUGAAAGAUCUUCGCAAGCAGACUAUAGAAACAGCAACUAACAAUGGGAGUGCAAUAAGGUUGAUGAAUGAGCACAUUGGUAGCUCACAAUUGAUCCAACGGAGUAUCAACUGGAGCCCAGAGGCUACACGAGAGUUAUCAACUCCAGAUCUGGUGGUUUCAGCCACAAAGGCACCAAUGAAUACUGUUCCAUUACUGGUGAACACUGUUCCAUUGAGUACUGUAGAUCCAGUGGGAAGGCACCAUCUGAAGGGGCAUACAGGGGACUUGGAACCAGAUCCAGUGGGAAUGAAGAAGGCUAAUCCAUGGGUUAGCUUAUUUGCGGGAAAUCGAGUUGCCAGCAACGGUAUGUCCUUAAAUUAUAUUACACCUGAGCUAGUUAAUGGAAAACUGGUAGUCAAGCUGGAUGAAAAGGAGCAAGAGAAAGAAGAAGUGUAGUGGAAACACUCGCUGGUUUUGUAUGUUAUUGGGGAAAUGCCAGGAUAUAAUUAUAUGAAGUGACAUCUCACAAACAUGGGCUAAUGUGGCAAACCCUGACCUGUUUUACCAUGAUGAGGGCUAUUAUGUGGUGAAAUUUCAAUCUGAACCUGACUUGAAGGAGAUCUUAUUUGCAGGGCCAUACAGCAAAAACAAUAAGCCUAUGAUCUUAAAACAAUGGACACCCAAACUUGACUUCAAAUCAGAGUUCUUAACUGAUAUCCUCCUCUGGGUAACAUUUCCAAAGUUGCCAUUAAAUUGCUGGGGGUGUGGCUCUCUUAGUAGAAUUGCUAGUGCGAUAGGAAUUCCAAUAUUUGCUGAUGAAUGUACAACCAAACAAACAAGGAUAUCCUAUGCUCGAAUGCUUAUUGAGGUGGAUGUCACCAAGCCAAUCCCUACAGAGAUUACGGUCAUGGAUGCUCGUGGUCAAUCAUUCCAACAAGUGAUUGUAUUUGACUGGAAGCCUGAGUAUUGUGAAGGUUGUAUGAUGGUGGGACAUAACUGUCACAAGGAUAAGCCCAAGCAAGUUGGCCAACCAAGGACAAAACAAACUCAUCCACCAGUCAAACAGAAACAACCUUGGAUGGUUAGAAAAGUUCUUGGAGCAAAGGAUCACCUACAUGUACUGCAUCAUGCUAUUGAUGGCAAGAGAAGUAUGAUAAAGCAAGCCUAUAAUCAAAUGCUAGGUGAUUACCCAAAGGUCGAUUGGAGAGGUCUCAUAUGUCGCAACUUAACAAGACCUAAAGCCAUUUUUAUCUUAUGGCUGCAAAUCCAGAACAGACUCCUUACAACAGAUAAGUUGCUGAAAUGGAGAAUGCAAGUAGAUCCUAAAUGUGUUAUGUGUAAGCAGGAAGCUGAAACAAGAGACCACUUAUUUUUUGAGUGUGUAUUUGCCAACUCCUUAUGGAGGAGAUUACUCCAAUGGACUACCAUCAGUCAACCUCCAAGGUAGAAUGCACGCAGACCUUACCCCUACCUCGAGGAGGUAGAGAGGUUGUUUCCGUUUUGGGUAGAAGCUAAUGGUAAAACUAAAGAAGCUAACAACUCAAGCUAGGUUUAAGUUUUCAUACUCAUACCAUUAAGAUGUUAGGGUUCAAGCCACAAAACAAAGGUAAGGUUUUGUCCAUAAGCCUCAAUGUGAUAGUGGAAGAUUAGUGCCUCAGGCUGCCCUUUACUCAGAUAUGCAACAAUUGACAAAAGCAUAUACUGAUAGAAAAAGGGGAAACACAAAACCAACAGAAAAAAGGGCUUACCAUAGUAUUACGUGAUUGCACAAAAAGGGUUGAAACAGCCAUAGAUGCAGUAUAGACAUCAAAUUGAAACUGCUCUUCAAAAUGGAGUAAUCUCUGGUUUGGGAUUAAACUCUUCUUCCAUAACACUCACUCGGAACAGAGUUCACAGAGUACUGAAACAACAAAGCUUCUAUCUUUUUUUCAAUUUUUAGCUAGAAUUAUCGAAUUGACAUUUUAAAAAAAAAAGUAAAUAAAGAAAUUAUUUGUUAUUCUAAUGGUGGUUAGACCUUAAUUUAAUUUAGGUAAUUAAAUCUCAAUUUUCAAUUCAUAAUUAUGACAUGUGGCUACUAUCUAAGUAGGUACUUGGGAAAAUGGAGAUAUUGGUAAUGGAGUGGAGCCUCAUUCGAAACCGCAACUUGCAAGUCAUGUGGCGCCUUUCCAUUACUCAUCCUCUCUAUUUUCGAAAGUACCUACUUAGAUGACAGCCACAUGUCAUAAUUAAGAAUCAAAUAUUGAAAUUUAAUUACCUAAAUUAAGGUAAGGUCUAACCAUUAUUAGAAUAACAAAUAAUUGCUUUAUUUAUUCUUAAAAAAAUUAUCAAACUCACUAUUCUAACUAAAAAUUAUCUCAUAAAUUUAUUUUAAAAAUUCACUAUUUUCCAUUUGAGUAACGAGCUCAUCUUUUCAGAGUUCAGAGGGUACUGAAAGAAGAAGGCUUCUAUCAUUUUCCAAUUUAGUACGUAUAUAAUAUUUCAAAAUUAUUAAGAAAAAAAAUACUUUUAAGUUGUAAUUAACAUAUUAAAAAUUAGAGGUGCCAUUAUUUAUUCUAUUCUAUUUCCAAAUAAACUUGAAGUGAUAUGAAAAAAUAUUACUCACUCUAUUCCAUAUUAACAAAAUAAAUGGUGUACAUGACCGGGUUGGUUCGGGUUUUUCAAAUACCAAACCAAUCCAUUGUGUCGAAUUUUUAAAUUUAUAAAUCAAACCAAACUAAUAAACCUCGNNNNNNNNNNNNNNNNNNNNNNNNNNNNNNNNNNNNNNNNNNNNNNNNNNNNNNNNNNNNNNNNCUUCAAAUAUUUCUUUAGUCCAACCAAAAUACAAUUAUCUAAGGUGUUUCUUAAGAAAAUAACACAAAAUAUGAGAUGAGUACUGAUGACACUAAAAUAUUCAAUAUAAAAUAAUAUUGCAAAGUCAUAAUGAAAAUGAUCAUAAUUUAAAAAACUAAAUCAUGCUAAAAUAAGUUUAAUAAGUAUUAGUUACAUUACUAAAUAUUUAAGGAAAAUUAAAAUUAGAUUAUGUAUUUUAAUUGUCUAAACCAAUGUAAAACUAAAGAACAAAUAUUCAAUAUUAUUGUCAUUCUUAGUGUUGAAUUGAUUUUCUUUUUGCAUUAGUAUUAAUUUGAUUUUGAUUUAAGUUUUAUUAUAAUUAUCAACAUCUAUGAACUAUAAUCUUUAUUGGACCAUUCCGAAUUCUAAGUUUUAAACUUGAAAUAAUAUAUUAAAAGAUAAAAACUAUGAAAUAGUAUAAGAAAUAUUUUAAAAUUAUAUCAAAGUAAAUAUUUUUAUGUAUAAAAUAAAAUUUUAAAAUUACAUAUAUAAUGUCGGGUUGGUUUGGUCUCGGUUUGUUUUUCUUUUUAGUUAAAAACAAACCAACCCAAAUAUAGUAGGGUUUUUUUUUUCCAAUACCAAACCACUAGUCGGAUUGUUUUUUCGGUUUGACUCGAUUCACGGUUUGGUUCGGUUUUGUACACCCCUAAGUUAAAAUUUAUGAGACAAUACACACUUAUUAAAAAAACAUUUAAUGACAUAAUUUAAAUCAUACUUUCCAUUAUUAUUCUUUGAGAAAUCAUAAAUAUAACUUUGUAAAUAGUGCAAUUUAUCUUCUAGAAAAUAUCAAACUUCAUUAAAGAAAAGAACAAAUAUAAAAAAAAAAUUAAACAUCUAUCUUAAAUUUUGAACAAUUUAAUUAUUUGAAUAAUGAAAAAAACCCAAAAGUUCUACUAAUAUUUCAAAAACAAUGAAUGAAGGUAAAAAAAAAAUUAAGGAAAAAAAUGUUUAAAUACAAGACAAAAUUUUUAAAAGAAAAUUACGUGUAUUGACUUAAUUUAAAUACAAAAUAAAAAAAAAUAAAAAGAUUUCAAAAAUUAAAAAAAUAAUUACACUUGCAAAUACAAUCAACUUACCUAAUUGAAGAUGCCACAAUAUCGAAAAAAUAAAUUCAGGGAGAGGGUAAUAAGACCCUAAUUAACUUAAUGUGUGUCGCACUGAUGCAUUAUCCCCUUAAUUUAAUCAAACUAUCAACUAUAUUAUCCACGUAGCAUCAAGAAUGUGUAUUUUGGUGUAUGAUUAGUUCUUUCAAAGUCACCAAAAUGUAAAAAAAAAAAAGUGAUUGAGUUUUUUUUACCCACACAUUUUUUUUCUUAGGUAUAUUUAUGUAAUUAACUUUUCAGCUACAGAGCAUAUAUAUAUAUAUGCAACCUCUGUAAUUCAACAGAUUACAAGACUUAACGAUUUUUCCCACCCAAAAUUAUAACCGCUUCAUCUUCCACUACUUCCUUCCUCCUCCAAAUUUCCAGUUCUUUAAUCCAUACUUCAAAUUCCACUUUUUCAGCUUCAUUCCAACUUCAGAUGAACUAAUUACAAAUGGGGAGAAAAUUCCAUAAAGGAUUCCGGGAUAGGACUCCAAAAAGAAUAUCAUUUUCUGCAAAAAUUCCCAAAAAUAAUCCAAAAAUUGAUCAUGUUCUAGUGCUUUUUCUUCUAACGUUUUUUAUUUUGAUUCUUUCUUUCUAUCUUUGUUUAUGUUACCUUGAGUAGCGUUAUUUCUUUCCGUUUAUUUUUUCUUUUUACUCAAGAUUAUCAAAAAGUAGAUUCGAAAAGAAAUUUGUGCAGAAAAUCGACCUCAGGUAAGAUGAUUUAAUUGAUUGUGGUUAUUGUAUAAAGAAUCUUUCAAGAAACGGGAGAUUAAAGUGAUAUCGUCAACGCCUUAAAUUUUCAGUUUGAAGUUGUUAAGACAUUAGAAUGAAAUUGUGAAACUCUGCUUUUCAGGAUAUCGUCAGCGCCUUAUUUCUCUAAUUGUUGAGUUAAUUAAUGUGUUUUCUCUCGCAGUGAAUCCUUCAUACAACAGAGUAACCAUGGAUCUCUUACCUAAAGGUCUUAACAAAGGGAUUGCAAUUAUAGGAAUUGUCUGGUGCUUAGUUAAGUGUGAGAAUAAAGAAAGUAGAUAUGAAAUCCAAGAAGUUGUUGGAAAGGGGAGCUAUGGUGUUGUUGCAUCAGCAGUUGAUACUCAUACAGGAAAGAAGGUAGCUAUAAAGAAGAUCAACAAUGUUCUUGAGCAUGUCUCUGAAGCCACCCGUAUUCUUAGAGAAUUUAAGCUCCCAAGGUUGCUUCGACACCCAGACAUUGUAGAAAUAAAGCAUAUACUAUUACUUCCAUGUCCGAGAGAAUUCAAGGAUACAUAUGUUGUUUUCGAGUUGAUGGAGUGUGAACUUCAGCAUGUCAUUAAGGCCAACGGCAGUCUCACGCCUGAACAUUAUCAAUUUUUCUUGUAUCAGCUUCUUCAAGGUUUAAAAUAUAUGCAUACAGGUGGCUGUCCCUCAUUUUUCUUUCUGGUAUUUUAGUUAGAUUUCUAUUUUACAUAUUUUGUGGCUUAUUUCUAAUUUAUUGAUUCAACAGGAAACGUGUUCCAUCAAGAUUUGAAGCCAAAGAAAAUUUUAGCAAAUGCAUAUUGCAAGCUGAAACUUUGUGAUUUUGGGCAGCAUUUGGCGAUACUCCAAUGGUUCAUCAGGUCUAUAAAUUGGUGAAAUGGAUCAAGCCACAACCUUUGUUCUACAAACUAAACAGUGAUGGUAGUUGUAUUGAGGAGGGUAUGUGUGGGGCUGGUGGAGUUAUAAGGGAUAGUAACGGGCAUAUGAUUCUAGUGUUUUCAGUGUUCCAAGGGCCUGGUACAAGUAAUUGGGCGAAGGAGCCAGCAACAUUGUAUGCUUGACUUCUUCUUUUGAGCUACUGACGGAUUUUUGGUUAGUAACACUUGCUAGAAUGUAACAGUAGGUGCGGAUGUAUGAAAAACAAUAGACAGUUUGGCUACCAAGACCUGGCCAUUUCAUCUGUAUGCGUUCUAGAUUAGUUUUAUAUGCUUCGACAGCUUCAUCGAAUACAAUGAAUGAGAAUAGUUUUAUAAUUGUUCUUUGUCAAUUGUCAUCUCUUUUUAUGUUACAGAAAUGCAAGUUAUUUACCUCCUAUUUGUGAUGACUUUCAUAGGGUUGGAAAAUCUCUUUCCAUUCUAAGUAGCGGAGACAAAACCAUAUACUGAUAGAAAAAGGGGAAAUUCAAAACAAAACAAAACAAAAAGGGGUUUACCAUAGUAUUAGGUGAUUGCACAACAAAGGGUUGAAACAGCCAUGGAUGAAGUAUAGACAUCAAAUUGAAACUGCUCUUCAAAAUGGAGUAAUCUCUGGUUUGGGAUUAAACUCUUCUCCCAUAACACUCACUCGGAACAGAGUUCGCAGAGUACUGAAACAACAAAGCUUCUACAUCUUUUUUUCAAUUUUUAGCUAGAAUUAUCGAAUUGACAUUUUUUUAAAAGUAAAUAAAGAAAUUAUUGUAUUUGUUAUUCUGGUUAGACCUUAAUUUAGGUAAUUAAAUCUUAAUUUUCGAUUCUUAAUUAUGAUAUGUAGCUACCAUCUAAGUAGGUACUUAGGGAAAUGGAGAGGAUGAGUAAUGAAGAGGAGCCUCUUCCAAAAAGUAGAGCCGUCAAUAUGGGCUAGGCCCGUAGGGCCGGCCUGGCCUAACUCGUGAUUUGAUAGGGCUGAACUACGAUUUUUGGAGUCCAUUUAAGAAAAAGGCUUUUUAGCUCAGCCUGAAUAAGUCUGCCGAUUUGUGGGGCUUGAGAACUAUGGAUAGGGCCGGCCCGUGGGCUAAAUAAAAAUAAAAUAGAGUAUUAAAAAUUACAAGAGUCUAAACUCAAAAUCUAUUAAAAGUUUGAAAUAUUACAAUUUAAAUAUAAAUUAUAUUUAUAAAAUAUGUACUAUAUAAAAUAAAUUUUUCCUAAAAUCUCUAGGGAAUCACUAAAUAGGUCGUAACCUAGGGAAUGUUGUCAUAGUUUUUGUGUUUUAUUAUGAUCAUUGGAAAACAAUUAGGUUAAUAUUUCUAUUUAGCUAUUUAUGCUUUUUAGAAAUCAAAACUUAAUAAAUAUUAUAAAGAUAAUUUUAUUUGUUUGAUUUGAUUAACAAGUAGUAACACUAACACCAUGUAAUAUUGUCUUGUCGAUAUUUAUGAUAAUAUUUUUAAAUUAAAUUUUAAUUUAAAAAAUUAUAAAAAAAUUACUUCUAAAAAAAGAGGGCAGGCCCGGCAAAGUCCGUAGCCCACGUACUUAUGGGCUGGGCCGACCAUUUCCUGGCCCACACAAAAAAUGGGCUAGCCCGUAAAAUUUCAAAGCUUGUAUGGGUUAGCCCAGAUGGGGUGGGCCAGCCCAUAUUGACAGCUCUACCAAAAAGUAUGUAAGUUUUGGGUCGUGGGUCGCUCACGUGGACCGACCCAAGAAAUUGUCUGAUAAGAGAUAAGAACUACUUAUCUCUUAUUUGAAAAAGAAGGGAGAAACAGUUAUUAAAUUGAAAACUUCCCAACUCCUCUUAAUAAAAGGAUUUAUUCCUUUACAGUCAAAAAGAGACAGACAACGUACAAAAAAAAAACAACAAAAGAUAACACAAAUCAGAAGAAAAAAAAAUAACUUCUUAUGUCUGAGGAUAGACAUUUAGUUUGUGAAUCAAACUUUGCUUCCUAGUGAUUCAAUGCAAGACUUUGGAGCAAUCGACUUUCGCUGCGAAAUAUAAGGUAUACAAUUCGUCGAUUUCUUUCUAUAGAUCCUACAAAGUGGAAGUCAUAUAACUUACCAAAUGGAGUGACAAAUAUCAAGCAAAGAAAAAAAAAACGUGAGAAGAGAUAAAAAGUAAAAAAUUGUUAAAAUAAGUACUUUAAUUUUUUUUAAAAAUUGAAUUCAAUAUAAAUAAUCCUAAAUAUUUUUUAAAAAGGAUUCAUAAAAAUUGAACCAAUAGAGUUUAAAUUCUACAUAAAUUAAAGUCAACCAUUAAUUAAUAUAUUAAUAUCCCCUCUUUAAAUCUCCACCUAUUGUAAUUAAUAAAUAAACUUAGCUCAAUCAAAACGAACUCAAAUAUAAGUGAAAACACAUAAACAUUAUAUGUGAUCUUCACCUCGAGGUUGAGUUAUUAAACAGGCUUAACAAUGAAUUUAAGUAGAUUUAAUUUAUAAAUAAUUAUCACUAAAUACUAAGCAAAUAGUAACAGAAUAAAUUAAGAGAAACAUAGAAACAGAAGGGACUCCUCUUCAUUACUCAUUCUCUACAUUUCUCCAAGUACCUACUUAGAUAACAGUCACAUGUCAUAAUUAAGAAUCAAAUAUUAAAAUUUAAUUACCUAAAUUAAGGUCUAACCAUGAUUAGAAUAAUAAAUAGUUUCUUUAUUUAUUUUUAAAAAAUUAUCAAACUCAUUAUUCUAGUUAAAAAUUAUCUCAUAAAUUUAUUUUAAAAAUUCACUAUUUUUCAUUUGAGUACCGAGCUCAUCUUUUCAGAGUUCAGAAAGUACUGAAAGAAGAAGGCAUUUAUCAUUUUCCAAUUUAGUACGUACAUAAUAUUUAAAAAUUAUUAAGAUUACUUUUAAGUUGUAAUUAACAUAUUAAAAUUAGAGGUGCUAUUUAUUUAUUUUAUUUUAUUUACAAAUAAACUUGAAGUGAUAUGAAAAAAUAGUACUCACUUAAUUCCAUAUUAACAAAAUAUAUGAGACAAUACACACUUAUUAAAAAAAACAUUCAAUGACAUAAUUUAAAUCAUAUUUUUCAUUAUUAUCCUUUGUAAAAUCAUAAAUAUAACUGUGUAAGUAGUACAAUUUAUCUUCUAGAAAAUAUCAAAUUAAACUUCAUUACAGAAAAGGAUAAAUAUGAAUGAAAAUAUUAAAAUAUCUAUCUUAAAUUUUAAACAAUUUAAUUAUUUAAACAAUGAAAAUAGGCCCAAAAAUUAUGCUAAUAUGAAAUAGUCAAAUAAAGGGAAUACUUUACUCAUAUUAUUUUGUUGCUGGAGAGGCAAAAAGAGGGGGGGGGGGGGGGGGGGUAAAAAAGGGAAAGGUCACACGUAGUUUAUCGUAUACAAACUACAAACUUAUUCCAUAGAGGAAAGGGAAAAGAAAGAGAGAGGAAAAAAAAGAAAAAGACAUGAGGAAAUAAAAAGAAGAAAGAAAAAAAUACUUAGUUUGACUUAUAAAGAGUUUAAAAAAUAAAAUAAAAGAUUUUUUAAUUUUGUAGUCCUAAAUUAAAGUUAUAUCAAAUAUACAAAAAUGCACUUUAAUUUUAUAAUCUUAAACAUGUCACGUGUAAAAAGCUGAUAUUAAAUUGUUGCCAAAAGAGGAACCUGUUUUUUAAACCAAAAGAGUAUCAAAUUAGGUAUAGUGGUAUUUACUUUUCCUAGUUACUAUCAAAUUAGGAUUUUUCAGACCGUCUAGGAUUAUAUUUGUUGCUCUCUUUAUAAAUACAUUCAUAAGUACUAGCCUAGAUUUUAUAACUAUACCUUAGCUUAUAUUUUAAUCGCAACCAAAUAAUGGUCCUUAGAAGCAUAUGGCAAGAAGAGACCCUCGUAGAUAUCAUGGACAUGAUACUGAAAAGAGUUGGCAUUGGUGACUAUGUACGUAUGACUCUCGUUUGCAAGUCAUGGAGAUCAAUGCUUGCUCAUCUCAAGCCAUCACAUCAUCUUACCGCCCCUUGGCUUUUACAGAUAAAAGAUUGCGUGUAUAACGAUCAUAUAGGAUUCAACUUCUAUAGUUUGUGUGAGGGUCGUUUUUAUUCUUUCAAAUUGCCUACUCAUAUCUUGAAUAAAUAUCCUAAGGUAUCUCAUGGUGUUACGUUCUGUUGUGCAACUUCUAAUGGUUGGUUGGUUCUUGUUGCUGGACCGGACCAUAACCCUGAUAUGUUCCUUUUUGACCCUAUUUCAGAAAUUGAUGUCAGACUCCCUCCAUUGACGACAAUACCAUUCUCCUCAACAUAUAUUGAGGAGCAUUGUAGAAUAGCAUGCAUGAUCUAUACGGUUUACGUAUUUUCAAUCUCGGAUGAUCCGACUAGAAAUCUUAUAACUGUCACGGUUUUUGGGGAUGUACUGAAUGAUGAAGAAAUCUUGGCAUUCUGUAAUUGUGAUAUUGGAGUCAAAGAAGAAGAGAGAUCGUGGAAGAUAUUUGAUGCAGAUGGAGCAAUUAGCGGCUAUAAUACUGAGAGCAUGUUAUUUCAUGAUGGUGUGUUAUACAUUCUUAUUUCAAAUAAGGAUUAUGAUGAUUUUAACAAUUUUAAGUCAAGUCAGGAUGAUAAGAGAAUCGGUGACGAAAUCAAUCAUGUUAUCAUUCUCAAGACCGACUGUUGUGAAGUGAAGAUGAAAAUAAUUGAUAUAGUAAAACACAACACAGCUCCUCAUAUUCGGCCUUGUGAUAAUAAGCUUCGCUUUAUUGCUUAUUCUGGCCUAAGAUAUGUGUAUUUGGCUAAGUCAAUUACGGGGGAGUUGCUUAUAAUUUGGAACAACACAGAUCCGUUGUCUGAACAUGAGGAUGAUUAUGAACUUCAUAUCUAUCAUACUAGUAAAUUAACAAUCGAGCGAUAUCAAGGUAUCUCUAAAACAAGUAAGGAUUUUGAAUCUAUCACUAGUUUGGAUGAUCAAGCACUAUUUGUGUCGCCAAAUAGCAACUCUUUCUCAAUUCCUGCAAGAAGUGAUCGAAAUGGAUGUCAAGCAAAUUGCAUCUAUUUUACUAUGGAUGGCAUUGAUGCUCUCUACAAGAAAUCUUUAACUCUUUAUCGUCAAUCGGGUAUUUACUUAAUGCAAGAAGAAAGGAUCAAACGACCUUUUCCUAAUCCACCAUUGUGGUUUCAACCACAACUUCGCAAUUAAAACUUUGUAAUAUAAUUGGUACGUUUCCUUGUUUUCUUUUUCCUUCUUUCUUUGCGAUUAUUUAGACAACUCGCAACCUUCGGGUUGGAAGUGAGGGGCGCUUACCCUCUCGUCAAAAUAUUAAGAAAAAAUCGUGUCUUUAAGUUUGUAUUCAAGAUGGUGUGAUACUUAUUUUAUACAUAGUUACUAAUUUAGUGUGGAACAUAAAUAUAUGUAUAAAAAUUUGUAAAUGGCAUCUAUUUUACUGUGGAUGUGCUUGAUACUCUCCACAAGAAAUCUCCAGCCCUUUAUCGUCAAUCGGGUAUUAAUUUAUUGUAUGCAAGAAGGAAGGAUCAAACGACUUUUUCCUAAUCCACCAAUGUGGUUUCAACCACGACUUAGCAAUUAAACAACCACAUUCAUUUUCGUUGCUUAGUAGUGAUUUCAUAUGUAUUAUUAUACAUGUUAUUCAAGUUUUGGAUGUUCAAAUUAUACUUAAGUUAGUUAUAAGUUAAUACAUAUGUUUUAUAAUGUGCCUUCCGGUCUUAGUAACCUAAGUUGAUGGCUGAAAGUUAACUUAGUUUUCCCUUACUUAUAUUAAGUUGUCCCCUGAAUCUAAUAUCUUUUAGGUCUUAUCUAUUUUUUCUUCCUAAAAUCAUAUAUUUAUCCUAACUUUCAUAACUAAACAUUUUAAGUCGCUACUUUGAUAGUAUUUCUUGUCUUUUUUUAGUGGAGAUCUACUCGAUUGCCUAUUGAAGAUAGACCCCUAUCUAUGCUAACUAUGUUUGUUUGGUACGUUUAUUACAUCAUGUUUGUCAUCCUACUGUAAUUUAUGGUUAUUUCCUACAUAAAAAUAUGGACAUGGAUGUUUUUUACAGCAAUCAUGAAUUUUUUUUUAUCAUCACUAUAUAGAAAGAAAGAAAAAAAAAUUGUGCUUUGAGUUCACAACACACAGAAGACCAUAUUAUAGUCUUGACAAUUGCCCCUAAUAAGUUGAUAAGGAUAUCCAUCACUGGCAUACGAACAAAUCAAUUAUGUUUAUAUGUUUAUUAUGGAGUAACUAACAACCGAAAAAGUAGUUUCUGUUUAUCUUCAAUUACUGUCAAUUUUUUUGCCAGCCCCUUAUCCUUCCAUUGACUUAUCUUUGAGCGAUCGGCUACAACGAUUUACAACUAACAUCACAAUAUAAUGGUAAAAACGAUCCAAACAAUAAACCACCUUCUUCUUUUUUUAACAAGCGUGUUACUAUAAACAAAAAUCCAAAAUAGACUCGUAUAGUUUCACUGAGUUACUAAAUUAGAAUCUACACUACGGAGUAGUAAUUAAUUAGUCUAAAUAAUUUUAAUCUGAUAAUUUAAGACAUCGUUACAUUAUGAUAUGUAUACGAGUAAAUAGUAAUAGUUAUAACUUAUCUAAAAGAAAUUAAUAAUAAAAAUUAGAAAUCACUACUCUUUUAAUAUAUUUUUUUGCGACGUCUUCUUAACAAAUUCACCAAAUAUUUGGACAUCCAUGUAUAUGUAUCCAGUACCUUAUGUUGAAUGAAUUUUGGGAACUCGCCGCCAUCUUCAAAAUUUAGCAUAGUUAAAAAUAUUAGAGUUUUAGCCCUAAUUUUUUUUUACCUUAUUUGAGCUUUACUUCUUUUCUUGUAGGAAAGUCAAAACAUCAUUAUAAAUGUUUUACUUUUCGAAAUUGAAGAAUACAACAACAUCCACAAUAUAGUCGUUUAAGAGUUUUGUUUAGGGAGAGAUUUUCUCCCUAAUUAAGAUGUUUAUGUUUUUCAAUAUAAGUUUUAUAAUAUGUAGGUCAAUUGACCAAAUCAUAUGCGUAAUAUUUUGAUUUUUUAGUAUAGUUCUUUAUCAUAUGAUUUUUUAGUAUAGUGAUGUGAGACCAAAAAUAUAUAUUUUUAAUCAUUAUUUGUGUCACAUUCAUAAUUUGUAUUUGUCUUUUUUGAGCGUAAAUUUUAUGAAUUGUGCUAAAUAAUUAAUGUUUUGCCUUGAUUUUCGCUUACACAAAUGCAGUUGGGUUGAUACUGCAAUCUUCUUAGUUUCUUGUUGUCUAACUCGAGAGGAGAAAAUACUCACGGAAUUUGUUGUACGUUCCUCCAAGCAGUCACUAUAUACUCGAGUUAUUAGGCUCCUCUUGUUUGGUCUAGUCCCGUAAAGCAAGGCUUACUUCGUUAUAUAUUAUUGUCUUAAUUUGAUCUCUACUUUUGGAGGUGGAAAUUUUGUGGAGGAGAGUUUAUAGCAGUACUAUUUGAACGUCCAGGUGCGGAGUUUCCUAUUAGGCAAGUACUCUCUGCAUGUGCGAAUUGGGACGUUGGAACUUACAUUUGUUGUCAUAUGGGGACAUGCACAGAUUUCCAUUUGGAAUAUGAAGUCAUACAAUGGAUGGUUCCUUUCUGUGGACAAUUGGCUCGACACUGGGCAGGAUGAUUUAGGUGGUGCGUACAUUGCUAAAUCAUAAUGCCCAGUGUCGAGCCAAUUGUCCACAGAACUACAAGAGCCUUGCAAGUAAAGGUUCAUAUGCUAAUGAACCUUUACCUACUGCAGAUCAAAUGCAUAUGAACUAUUGGAAGCAGUUGCUAAAAGACGUAUAGGCUACAUUGCAAAGUUGUAUGAUUGGGGAGAUAUUAUGAUAUAUACUGCUAUACUUACGAUUCUAACAUCGGUUCAAGUGACAUCUUACAUGGUAGCACUUGUUGAUCGUUACUAUGACUCACUGACUAGAAAUCUUAUUAAUUAGCUCUACUCUACAAGAUAGUGUUAAUUUUAGCAAUUCCAGGGAACCCAAGAUUCUUGUUAGUUGUAAUUAUUUCUUCAUUUUUUUUUUUUAUAGAUUACGUUACAAAUCGUAGUGGAACUUCAUUCUUUUUAUUUAUUCUUAUGAAUAGAAGUCAAGGGCGAAUUCGCAGUCAGGCUCCAGUAUACCAAACACAGGAUGAAAAACUAAAAAGAAAACGUAUAUUUUUUCUGAGUUUCACCCAUUAACAUUAUGAAGUUUAUCAGUUCUCAUAAAAGCAAAAUGUAAUGGUGUUUGGAGGCGAAUUUGUGAACGAAAGGGUUUAAAGUGGGAAAUUGUGAACAAAAUUCACUUUCAGAAGCAAAAACCCAUUUUCAGAGCUAUAGUUCAUAAGCUCUCCCCUGUUUUAAGGCUCCUCAUUUGCAAAGUCACAACUCUUCAUUUUUUUUUAGAGACAUCAAUAUAUUUUAAAAAAAAGUUAUGGCAACAAAAGUUCUUGACAAACAUGUAUGCAUACCAAAAGAUUGUUAAUACAAAAAGAUACUAAAUAAAAUACUUGAAAAGAUUAUGAAAAAUUGAUAUUUCAUUGAGAAAAACACAUGUAUAAAGAGGGACGAAAGUUGAGCAUGACUUGUUUUUGUGGAAUAUAGCAAAAUAAACAGAGCAUUGAAAUAAACCUUUUGUAAUAACUCUGCACUGAUUUGAGCUGUUAACAAAGCUCAAGAAUUCUGAUCACUGUACUCUGUAGAAGCUUGUAAUUUCUUCCGUGAAAGUUGUUAGAAUCUUCGACCCUACCUGAAUCUUCAUUGCAAUAACUCUCUACUUUGUAGAAGCUUGUAAUUUCUUUUCGUGAAAGUUGAUAGAAUCCUCAACCCAAAAUACUACCUAGAAUCUUCAUCACUAAUAAAAGGGGGGAAAUCGAGCCAAGAACACACAAAUGUAAAGGAGAAAAAUCAGCCCAAACAAGACAAGAAAAGUAAAACCCGCCAUUGCAGCUACAUCAUUGUUUACUGGUGCGUUCAAAGAUGAACGACUUGAGAUCUUCAUCUUCUUUGAAGAUGCUUUCAUGGUGGCACAAUGCACCUUCUUCGUUUUACCGGCCAUUUUUGCAGAACAAAUUUUCUUUUCUGUUUUUUUUUUUCGUUUUGGGAAUUGGAGGGAGUUAACUGCUUUUGAUAGUAAUAUAUAUAUAAUAGAGUUAUCACCCUUAAAGCUUUGUACAUUUAAUAAAAUGCACACCUAAAUUAUUAAUUACCCCCUCAAACAUUAUUUUUUGGAACUAUUUACCCCUAAUUUAUGAGAAGUUUUAAUUAUCCCCUUAAAUAUGAAUUUUUGGUACUAUGUAUCCCUAAAUAUGCCACAUGGCGUAAAAAAAAUUAUUAUGUCCCAAUUUAGAUGACUAUCUUAAGAGAAAUGACAUAUUCCUCUGAUUGUAUAUUUUCCAUUUUAUUUUUAAUGAAACUGAAAAUUAAAUUGGGCUCAUCAUUGAAAAUUUUCUUAAAAUGGGUAACGGCUGGAAUGAGUAAAGAUUAAAUCAAAUUCAAAUUAUUUUAGUUCAAUCCUUAGAAUUCUGACGGAUUGAACGAGUUACCGUUACUUGGGUUCAUGUUUUACACCCCUAAUUUUAUUUAUGAGGAACUUUCGCAAACAACCACUAUAAUAAACUUAAUUAUACUCCAUAGCUAUAGUUUGCAUAUUUACUGGUUGUAGCUAUAGUUUAAGCUGUCUCGUUUGUAUAAUUCGCAGAUUUGUAUAAUUUGCGGGUAUAUUUGUAUAAUUCAAUUAUUUUUAAACUCGAAAUAACGAAUUUAUACCAUUACAAACAUCAAAAGUGUAAACAAUUAUACAGAAGUUAUACAAAUUAUAUUAUACAAAAUCUGAAUUAUACAAACGUGCGAAUUAUAGAAGACUAAAAAGCUGAGCCGCGUAAUUAUAGCUAAAAGUAGAUCGCGAAUUGUAAUUAAGGCAAACUAUAGCGCUAUGUUAAGUAAUUAACUAGUAUAUGUUUGCCUAUACGCGUAAUUUUCCCUUUUAUUUAAUUAUUUGUCUUCACUUCAAUUUAGUCUCCACUCCUAUUCAUAUGAUCUGGUGAUCUUACGUUCUUUUAAUUGUUGUGGUAGGAGUUUAAUUCUUGGUUUAUUUUCGUUUGUGUCAUUGUUUUAGUAUAAGUGGAUAGGGGUGUACAUGGGUGGAUUGGUUCUAGUUUUUCAUAUAUCAAAUCAAAUUAUUUUUGUCAGAUUUUUAAACUUAUAAAUCAAAUUAAACUAGUAAAAUUCGGGUUUUUUUUAAUCUGUUCGAUAAAGUAUUUCUACAAACAUAUAACUAACUUGUGCUUCAAAUAUUUCUUUAGAUAAAUAUUUUUGUAUACUUAUACAUAAAAAUAUGUAUACGUAUAUGUAACUGUAUUCUUGUAUAUAUGUUUUUUUGUUGUGAUAUUCAGUCGUAUAUGUAUAUGUGUAUUAUAUGUAUUUAAAUAUGUAUAUGUAUAUGUAAUAUUUUUGUAUUCAAAUAGAUUUAUAUAAAAAUCUCUCUCUCGCUUUAUACAAACACAAAUUACACAUUGUAUUUUGUAUAAUUCAUGUUUAUAUAAACCGAGAAAGAGAGAAAGGCAAAAGAGAAUUGAAUAGGAGAAGAUUUGUAUGGUAUAAUUAUAAGUGUAUAGGACAAAGAUAUAUGUGUGUAAUGACCCUCCAGGUCAUUUUUAUAACUUGAAAAGUUGACUUUGGUCAACUUUCUUGGAAGUCGUGCUCAGAUGAAAAUUCUGACAGCUAAUUUAGCUUCGGAAGAUCGAUUUUGGUCUAGAACGACCCUUUGUUCACUUCCCAAGGCUUUAGAUGGCAGUUGUGGAAUCUGACUCAAAUGAUACUGGGUGUGGGACCCACUUUUCAUCGAAGCAAUCUCCAAAAUGGAAAUUCCGCCUUCACCGUUGAGUCCGGAAUAUUGUUUCCAAUCAGAUUCCAUAUAUGGUUUGUAUUUUUCCGACUCCGAACGAGUCCGAAACAUCGAAAUUUAAGUUUGAAGGGUUGUAGAAUUUUGACGCGGCGGAGGGAAAUCUGGAAAUUUCCAGAUUUUAGGACGAUUUUCGUCCAUUUUUUUCCCUCAACUUCAACAUAAGAUUUUCUCCUUCAUUUUGAGUCAAAAUUAGGUGCUUCAAAAAGGCUAACUUCAAGAGAAUUUCGUGGGGAAUAUAGCGGUGAUCUCAGAAACGCGAGGGGAGGUUUCAUUUGAGGUAAGAAAUCGAUUUUUAGCCACUGCCAGGGUGAUUUCCGGAUUGAAUUGUUGUUGAAUUUUGAAAUGUGAGAUCUUGAUCAUCGUAAGUCCGUUUUAAGUCAUUCUUGGGGCUAACUUGUAAAGUUUUUCGCAAGGAUCGUCGUGGUAUAAUCUGUUUGGGUUGAAAGGGUUUCGUUUUUCCGAAAAUUGGUGAUCAAGGGGCUGCCCUUUUUAAUUAUUGUGGCUGAUUUGCGGUGUUGUAGGCAUCUGUUUGUGCUAAAAUUUUGGGAUAUUAGUUUAGUAAGGUAGUUGGGACGUUUCCACGGAUUCGAUUUUGAGAUUCUAAGUGUGGGCCCCACAAUCCCGUUUUAGACCCGAUUUUGGGUCCGUCUCCGAAAAAUAUAAUUUUAGUGUCAAUAUAUUCGUAAUGACAAGGUGAUUAACCUUUUGUUAGAGGGGAAGCAUUUGGAGACCGUUCGGAGAGGAAAAGAUCCGGUACCGUGAGCUGGAGCACGCGUGAUCGGCUUUCAGGUAGGCUAUGGCUUUCUCUCGUGAGAUUGAGCAUGUUUAGGCAAUUGUUAUUGAUUUGCUUGAGUAUGGAGGGGUUCGGGUGUCGAGCAUGCUAAAUUUCUAUAAUUCCUGCCUUAGACCUUAUUUCGGGAAAGUGUUGGAUUAUGACAGCAUGUCUCUUAAUAUUAUUGAAUAUCCAUAUCUUGUGGUGUAUAUGAUAAUAUUGAUUUGAAGUAUGUUUGGCCUUAGUCUAGGCUUAGACUAGUGUUGCCAUAGACUUGCGAGAUUUCGGAUGUUGUUGGGCAGUAGAACUUUUUCCGACGUCGUUUCGGACGGUCAGCUCCUUGUAGACUGAUAUAGCAGACUUGAGUCUGAUAGUCUGAGCCUUAGCUAGGCGGUAACUCAGCUUAUGACCUUGUAUCCAUAAUGCCCUGUUUUUCUAUCGGCUAUAGUACCCGGUUAAAGUCCGUGGUCUAGCUUACUCACUAUUGGAUACUUCCUCGGCGAUUUGGGGUAUAUGAGAGUUGGACUGAAAUGAUUAUUUAUGGUAAUCGGUUUGGUGAUAUUUCCCGCGACGUAUGGUUGGAUAUUGAUUCUUAGCUACAGUACCCGGUUAAAGUCCGUGGUCCAGCUUACUUAUCUCCAGGCUUAGCUACAGUACCCGGUUAGAGUCCGUGGUCCAGCUUACCUGUGAUCUGGUUUUAGCUACAGUACCCAGUUAGAGUCCGUGGUCCAGCCCAUCCGUGCCCGACCCUUGGCUACAGCACCCGGUUCGAGUCCGUGGUCCAGCUUGCACGUGGUGUAUUCCCAAUUCCUCACUAAAGCUUCAGUUUAGUCUUGAUUACUCUCAUCUGUAGGUUGAGGUUUUGGAGGUUGAAGAGAUUCCGGUUAAAGUCCGGGACGUAAUGAGAUCUUGGAAUAUGAUUGGGAAUGGUUCAGUUAAAAGUCCGGAAAUUGGUAAUAUUGUGAUAGACCUUCUAGCUCCAUUAUUUUACUUCAACUGNNNNNNNNNNNNNNNNNNNNNNNNNNNNNNNNNNNNNNNNNNNNNNNNNNNNNNNNNNNNNNNNNNNNNNNNNNNNNNNNNNNNNNNNNNNNNNNNNNNNNNNNNNNNNNNNNNNNNNNNNNNNNNNNNNNNNNNNNNNNNNNNNNNNNNNNNNNNNNNNNNNNNNNNNNNNNNNNNNNNNNNNNNNNNNNNNNNNNNNNNNNNNNNNNNNNNNNNNNNNNNNNNNNNNNNNNNNNNNNNNNNNNNNNNNNNNNNNNNNNNNNNNNNNNNNNNNNNNNNNNNNNNNNNNGCAUCUAUUUCGUGAUGCAGGUCCGGGCACUAGUAGCCAGCGUUGAUCGAGCUUGGAGUAGACUUAUCCGGAGACGGGGGUGAGCACACGGCGUUUUGUACUAUUUCAGUCUCCAUCUGUAUAUAUAGACUUGUCUUUUUCCUUUCGAGGCAGUCCAGUCUUUGUUGUCCAGUUUUGGGACUUAUACUCAUUUUGUAGUAGCUCUGUACUGGUGACUUCCAGGUUCUGGGAGGGAUCUUUAUUUGUAUAUAUGUUUUUGGUUUGAUUCCGC